AGAAGCAGCCAUCAUUUAAAGAAAGCGUAAUAGCUCACUGGUCGAGUCGGCCUGCGCGGAAGAUGUAACGGGGCUAAACCAUGCACCGAAGCUGCGGCAGCGACACUGAUGUGUUGUUGGGUAGGGGAGCGUUCUGUAAGCCGUUGAAGGUGUGUCGUGAGGCAUGCUGGAGGUAUCAGAAGUGCGAAUGCUGACAUAAGUAACGAUAAAGCGGGUGAAAAGCCCGCUCGCCGGAAGACCAAGGGUUCCUGUCCAACGUUAAUCGGGGCAGGGUGAGUCGACCCCUAAGGCGAGGCCGAAAGGCGUAGUCGAUGGGAAACGGGUUAAUAUUCCCGUACUUGGUGUUACUGCGAAGGGGGGACGGAGAAGGCUAUGUUGGCCGGGCGACGGUUGUCCCGGUUUAAGCGUGUAGGUGUGUGUUCCAGGUAAAUCCGGUU
rnacentral:rRNA from 1 species